rnacentral:tRNA from 1 species
UCUCUGGUGACUCAGACGGUAAAGCGUCUGCCUGCAGUGCAGGAGACCCAGGUUCGAUUCCUGGGUUGGGAA